rfam:Canis lupus familiaris chromosome 8, whole genome shotgun sequence.
AGACAAGAGGGCCAUCGAGCUGAGACAUCUGUCAUCUCAUUGACUGCUAGGUUUGAUCUGGCUGACCUGAUUGACUAGAUAGUGUUUCUUUCCUCUACCUUCCCUUGAAGCUGUGAGAUCAGUCAGAGAAAAUACAGGAGGUUUAUUCUUUGGUCAAGGGCAUGUGAGUGAGUUUGUGUGUUCCUCUACUAGAGUACUAAGAAAAUCUUCUCUCAAGCUUUCAAGAAGUAUUGGGGUGACUCAGUGAAUUGUAGGACACAGUAAGAUGCUGUCCCUUCCUCCUU